UACGAAGGGGGCUAGCGUUGCUCGGAAUCACUGGGCGUAAAGCGCACGUAGGCGAAUUGCUAAGUCAGGGGUGAAAUCCUGGAGCUCAACUCCAGAACUGCCCUUGAUACUGGCGGUCUCGAGUCCGGGAGAGGUGAGUGGAACUGCGAGUGUAGAGGUGAAAUUCGUAGAUAUUCGCAAGAACACCAGUGGCGAAGGCGGCUCACUGGCCCGGUACUGACGCUGAGGUGCGAAAGCGUGGGGAGCAAACAGG
rnacentral:rRNA from 1 species